rnacentral:rRNA from 1 species
CACCGGCGCCACAAGUGGUCAUCACGAUUAUUGGGCCUAAAGCGUCCGUAGCUGGUGCGGUGCAUCCCUUGUGAAAUCGUUCGGCUUAACCGAACGGCGCGCAGGGGGCACGGCCGCGCUCGAGACCGGGAGGGGGCAGAAGUAUUCCAUAGGGACCGGUAAAAUGGGAUAAUCUAUGGAGGACUACCGAUGGCGAAGGCAUCUGCCCAGAACGGAUCUGACAGUGAGGGACGAAAGCCAGGGGAGCGAA